rnacentral:tRNA from 1 species
GCCCUCUUAGCUCAGCCGGUAGAGCACUUCCAUGGUAAGGAAGGGGUCGGGGGUUCGAGUCCCCCAGAGGGCU